AUGUUCUACUUCUGAAGAUUUUAAAAUCUUUUUGUUUUGUAAGUUUUAUUUAUUUCGAGAUGGAGAGAGAGACAGAGAGAGAUUGAGCGUCCCAAGCAGGCUCUGCACUGUCGGAGCAGAGCCCAAUGCGGGGCUCAAACUCACGAACCAUGAGAUCAUGACCUGAGUUGAAGUCGGUCGCUUAACCUACUGAGCCACCCAGGGGCCCCUACAUCUUAAGAUUUUAACAUCACGUGGAGUAGUGGGGGAUUAGUUAAGGAACAGAAGUAGGCUUCCAGAUAUAUGCGUUUUCUUUUUAUGACCCAGUUGGGAGGGCAAGCUGGCACCUAUGCUGAGAAUUGAGAUGUCAGCAGUUUAGGAAAUGGCCAAAGCCCUCCUGCAGCACCAGUGACACGUAUCACCGCCCUGCUCCCCUGCUGCCACCCCACUGCGUCCACAGCAACAGCAGUCACGGGCUCAGGACGACAUAUGUGGCUCUCAGCCGCCAGCGGAUGACAGAGUAGAGAUAGCAGAGACUCUGGUACAUACGGAAGAGGCAGCUCUCACCCGAAGCAGCCAACGAUGCCGCUGGGCUCUGCCUGCUCACGCUGGGGAGGAGCAGUCUUUGAGGAGUUUUUGAGUGAACACGCCAUAUGCCUGUUUCAUCACGAGUGCAAAUCAGCAGGAGGAAAAAGGAUGUCCUUAAAGUGACGUGAAGCCAUCAAAGGAGCUCUCAGGCCCCCCUUCAGAAGGCAAAGGGGAAAAAAAAAAAACAAGACCUGAGCAAGUUCCUGACAUCAACAUCUGAAUCUUCCUCCUCUGAAUGCUGUAGAGAUGAAACGUUUCUCUGUCUGCUCUGAGCCUCGGUUUCUUUUUUUGUAAAAUGAGGACGAUAACGAUUCCAGCGUAGGCAACUUCAUCGGGUUGCUAUCUGGACCACAGCAGGUACUGGAUGUGAAAGUACUUGGUAGGCGACGCAGCCCCAUGCACCUGACAGGGGCGGCCCACAUCAGGUCUCAGCCGCAUUCUGGGGUGAGGUCUGUGUAGCCUCAACUAGGUCAUUCCUGGCUGUGUGAAGCAGGCCCCUGCAACGGCCCCUGAGUUUCCAGGACUGGAAAACAGAUGAAUUCCACGUGAUCCCUCUCCUCAGGCUUUUCUCCCAGAUGGGGUGUGCCUUGCGGGUGGUGAGGAAGCUUGAGGACUGCUCAAGGGUCCCUUUACGGGAAGUCUCCAGAUGCGAUCUCCUGUGGCAAACACCUGACCUGAGGACCCCAACUCCCAUCAUCGCCCUGUUAGAGGACGCAGACUGUGGGAGGUCAUGUGGUGCUGCAUAUGUGACAUUCCCUCCCCACGCAGGCAGGAAAAAGAAAGUCCUAAAGGGCACAUAGUUAUUAUUCUGAUUUCAUAGACGAAGAAACCGAGGAUAAGAAGGGUUAAGCUCCUCCUUCACAUUUGCACGGCUAGUAAGAGGGAGAUGUGGCAUUUGAACUUGGGGCAGCCUGACUGCAAAGCCUUGACUGGUUCCUUUAUAUCACCACGUGUGAUACAAUGGUUGUCACGUGUGUAAUAAUGCUUGUCUCACAAGAUGGAAAACUGUAGAGGGUCCGUGAAAGAAGGACGGAUAAUGUGCCGUGCAGUUUUAGAGGAGGGAGGGAUCACUUCUGGUCAGAGAAAUCCAGGAAACCUUCAUUGAGGAGGUGGCUUUUGCCUCCAGGUCUUGAAUAGGCCAGAUUUGGACAUUCAGAGAUGUCUAUUCUUCCCGUCAGUUGUCCCUUCUGCGGGCUGUGUGGCUGGCUUCCCACAUCUGGUGAAUCUUCGCAAAAUCCAUUUAGUCCCCAGCCUCAUCCUCGUUCUCACUGUCCCCGCACAAGAGAAGUCCCGGAAUACUGAGAACGGGAGAGGAAGUCACUUCGAACUGGGUUCGACUAGAGAACCUUCCUGGAACAGGCCCUGGGGAGAGGUCUGAUGCGACUCGACUUAAGUGCCAGUUCUCGAGUGAGCCUUCCCUGCCCUCCCAGACUAGACCGUGAACCCCGAUUUCAUGUACUUAUUACAAGAGUUACGAGUGAAUUAUUUUCAAUUUGAUGCCUGUUUCUGCUGCUUGACGGUAAGCUCCUUGAGGACAGGACCUCAUGUGCCUUGUCCCUGCCAGAUCCCAAGGCUCUAGCACAGAGACUAGGAUAUAGUAGAUGCCCAGCUAGUAUUUGUUAAAAGGCCGAAUGAGCGCGUGAGUGUCAGAGCGCGGCCCCGGAUGUGCACAGGUGGACACACGCACAGGUGCGACCAUGCUCGGGCUCUGCUCUCUUGUUCCAUUGCUCUGUGUCAUAUGCCAGGAUUUACAGGGCAGCUGGCAGGGUGGCAUCAUGCCUCUGGAAAUGACAUCUGGGAAUGAAUGACAUCCUUUGGGAAGACAGGAUGACGCUCCUUCCCAGCCAGUGCCUCCCUCCCCUCCCCACCUCAAGCCCAGAGGCUCUUCCGGGGGGAGAAAUGAUGCUCUGGUAGCAGGUGGUGGAGGGAUCCCAGAGACAGCAGGCUCCGAGAGGGGGGCAGGGAUGCAGAGGGGAAACCGCUGCCUUUCCGGAAACAAAAGAGCCCUUUAAAGUCACUUGAUAUCAUGUCUUCCUGCCCUGGGCCUCUGCCAAGCCUCCCUCUUCCUAUUGUGGAGCAGCAGGGACAGCAGAGACCUGUAUUUGCUCCCCUGCUGGUGCACUGCCCUGGGGACUGGGAGCAAGCGUCGUGCUGGCAGGCCUCCUGUGCCUACAGUGUGCCCGCUAACUGAAGAGUUCUGAGUUUAGGUUUUGAUGGGUCACGCAUCCACAUAUUUCAAAAUCCAAAAGUGUGGGCACACGGGCGGCGAACGUCCCCCUUGCGCCCCGUCCUCCAUCCAUCCAGUUCUCCUUUGGGAAGGUUUUGGUUCUUAGGAAUCCUUCUAGAGAUAGUUGAUGCACAUACAAGGAGAUAUGCAGGUGCCCUGCAGGGGCAGAAUUCCACAUACACUGUUUCUAUCUUGCUCUUUGCACUUAAUGAUGUGCAUUUUACUUUCUCGGUUAUGUCGUGUUCCGCGGGGUCGGUGUCCUGGGGACCCCGUGCUCCAGACUUCCCCUGUCAUGCCGUGUGCAUGAAUCGCACACUUUUCUUCCUGGAUUGUCCUGAGUAUUGAGGACUGAUGGAAAGUUACAGCGUUUUCUCUCUGGCUGUCUACGAAAGACAUCCCAAAGAAUGCGUGAUUACGUCGAGUCAUGCAAGGAUUCUGGUGGGGUGUCCGGCCUAUCAGUGUUUGGUGCGUAUUUGAUGAAUUAAUGAACGAGCGAGCACAUUCAUGCAAGAUGGGAGGACUCUAGAAAGCUCCUUCCUCGCACAGACAUGCCCAGGUGGUAGGAGCGGUGAGCCCGGCCCGUGCCUGGGGAAGGAGUCUGCGGUGGUGACGAAGGAGGGGAAAUACAGUAGGUGGGGGCGGGCGGGGCGAAGCCGUGAAAAUUAGGAGUGGGUGUAAGCGCCAGGGCGCAGCGUGCAGCCAGCCACAGAAAUCGGGCCUCUGCUGGCCCCUGUGCAUAAUUAGUAGCCAGAAAUAGCACCUGAUCGGUGGCCCGGAACGAGCAAGUGUGUUUCCGUGCAGGUCCUCAUGUCUCCACAGCACUGCCCUGCUUUCUUCUUCCUUUCAGACAACAACUAUUUGCAUCCCAAGUGAUGGUUGUCCCACUCUUUCCAAGCACCAUUCUCCAUAGGGAUAUAGAUGGAAACAGCUGGAACGGAGGGGGGAGACUUUGGCUGUAAACCUAGACAGAGGUUCUCUUCUUCUCUCUGAGCCUCAGUUUCCCCAUCCACAAGACGGGAACCAUGUUUGGGCUUCCCCGAGGCUCCACCGAUGGUGUGGACGGCAGCUCCUUGGCAGGUGGGAAGAGGAUACCAGAGGUGCCUGGAGCCCCUUUUCCAGUCUUCAGGGCUGGGAAGACCAAGAUCAAGGUGCCAGCAAAUCCAGAUCGCUGUCCAUCGGGAACCCUCCUCUUGAUUUGAAGGCUGUGUCCUCACAUGGCAGAGAGAGAUGUCCUCCUUAUAAGGGUACGAAUCCUAUCAUGGGAGCUCUACCCUCAUGACCUCAUUUAAACCUACUUAACCUCUCAAAGGCCCCACCUUCGAGUACCAUCACACUGGGGAUUAGAGUUUCGACGUAUGAUUUAUGCGGGGACACAAACAUUCAGUCCACAGCCCAUCCUGUAAUCGUGACAACCUCUGUAACAAAUAUUGAGAAUUCUGUUCAAAACAACUCUCUUCUGGGUGCCAGCCGUGUUACGGGCCUGGGGAGCUGGAGAGAGGUAUUCAGUGGUGGCCGAGACCCUGUCCCUGCCCUCCGGGAGCUUCCGGACUGAUGGACUUGCUGCUGCCCCCAGACGACCUGUGUCUUGUCAUCAUUGCCAGGAUGGCUGGGGGCUGCGGGAGGGGGGCAGAGGUGUCCGGGGGCGGGCGUGCCACCGCCUGCGGGCUCAGGGCAGCUUCGUCCCCGUCACCAACUCUGGCCCGCCCGCCUCGGCUUAGAAGAUACAGUCCCAUGUGGACACCAAGUGACAGCUGAGAAGCCUCUUCCUCCUGUUGGUUGGUUUGUUUAUUGUCUUAUUCAGGCCUUUCGAGGCUUUACAAGUCCCCAAGAACUUGAAGUUUUGUCAUGUUUUCAGAUGAUGCAUGUGAGUGUAGAGUUGUGCUGUCCAAAUGUCCAAAUGGUAACUGCCAGACACAUACGCAUUUACAUUUGUUUCAGUUAAUUAAAUGCAGUGCAAUUUAUUUUCACUAUUUAAAUUUUUUUCAUGUGUAUUUAUUUUUGAGAGAGAAGGAGACAGAGCGUAAGCAGGGGAGGGGCAGAGAGAGAGGGAGACACAGAAUCCGAAGCGAGCUGUAGGCUUUCAGCUGUCAGCACAGAACCUGACGCGGGGCUCGAGCCCAUGGACCGUGAGAUCACGAUCUCACCCGAAGUCGGACGCUUAACCCACUGAGCCACCCAGGCGCCCCAGAGGCAAUACAAUUUUAAUUUCAGUUUUUCAGUCACAUCAUCCGCAUUUCACGUGGGUGCUAACCUCAUGUGGCAAGCUGCUACCACAUUGGGCAGCGCAGAAUAGAACGGUCCCAUCAGCCCCGAAUGUUCUGUUGGAUAGCUUUGGUACAGAAAGUUGCUUUCUUGCCAUUUGUUCUUAGCUUUUAAUUUUUUAAAGAGUUAGCUACGUCUGGUCUUCUUAAAUGACCCCCCCUCUUUGGUGUCUCCUCACAUAAUUUUUUGAGGACUCGAGCUGUUAGUGUUGACGGUAAUACCCUGCAGGCCCAGCCCCACCUUCACUGUUACGUGUUUCAUCAGCUUGGCCUUUCUGUGUCCCGCUCUCCCUGGGCUGGUGAUAUUGUCCAUCUUGCCUCUCAAACCUCUGUCAGAACAAAUGCAAAGGGCUUUAGGCUGGCCAGAAGAAAACAUAGCUGAGAUCCCACCUAGCGAAAGUGAUAAUGAUCUUUUGGUACCUGGGGAGAGGCUGCCCUUGCUUGGGACAGAUCACACUUGACCCGGUGCCCUCCCCUCGGGUGGGGUUGCGAAGGCAACCAGUUGUCUGGGGGCCCGCUUUUCUCCAUUUCAGCCAGAACGCUUUAAAACACA